rnacentral:tRNA from 1 species
GGAAUUGUGGCUCAGUGGUAGAGUGCUCACCUAGAAUGUAUGAGGCCCUGGGUUCAAUCCACAGCACCA